CAUGUAUCUACUUGUGUAUUUCUUAAAUAUGAAAGAGAAGAAGAGUAGAAGAGUGAGAAGUGGCUCUGAAAAUCAGAAGGCCUAAGACCUAUGACAGAAUUAAUGGAUUUGGAGGUUUUCACGCUUUCCUCAGAUAAUCACUACGAGUUUUUGGCAGUGCCUCUCUGCAAGAGGCUCUGGGUCUGUGUUGCUGAAUUGGCCUGUGUCCUCAAAGCACGUUCCAGCUUUCAAGGGGAAAAUGACAAGGUGGAAGACGAGCAAUGGACUGAAUUGCCUAAGUAACCCAGGCUAACAGAAGCUCCAUCUACUUGCGGCUACAACAGAAGAACAAGUGGCCUCCAACGCCGUGGUAGUGGCGGAAGAGAGAUCCUGAAGAAAUCUCACAGGCUUUUUGCUUCUCAACAUGGAAAGUAGAGAUACAUGUCUUUUCUACCCUUUUCAUUGGCUGUAAUGAGUCACAUGUCUCUACUCCCCUUGAAGCUCAGAAGUGCAGUCUUUGUGUCCAAAGUGUCAGAAGAACUGGAUAUUGAUGAACAUUAGUAAUGCUUACCAUGUAUAUUAACCCAGGUGUACACAGAGCCAUGUAAAAUUUGAGUCUCGCACUAUGAAGUUCCAAUCCAG
rnacentral:lncRNA from 1 species